AUCGCUUCUCGGCCUUUUGGCUAAGAUCAAGUGUAGUAUCUGUUCUUAUCAGUUUAAAAUCAACUGGUAUAAAUACAGAUGUAACAAGACAAUAACACAC
rnacentral:snRNA from 1 species